rnacentral:rRNA from 1 species
AUUGAACGCUGGCGGCAGGCCUAACACAUGCAAGUCGGACGGUAGCACAGAGGAGCUUGCUCCUUGGGUGACGAGUGGCGGACGGGUGAGUAAUGUCUGGGGAUCUGCCCGAUAGAGGGGGAUAACCACUGGAAACGGUGGCUAAUACCGCAUAACGUCGCAAGACCAAAGAGGGGGACCUUCGGGCCUCUCACUAUCGGAUGAACCCAGAUGGGAUUAGCUAGUAGGCGGGGGAAUGGCCCACCUAGGCGACGAUCCCUAGCUGGUCUGAGAGGAUGACCACCCACACGGGAACUGGGACACGGUCCAGACUCCUACGGGAGGCAGCAGUGGGGAAUAUUGCACAAUGGGCGCAAGCCUGAUGCAGCCAUGCCGCGUGUAUGAAGAAGGCCUUCGGGUUGUAAAGUACUUUCAGCGGGGAGGAAGGCGGUGAGGUUAAUAACCUUGCCGAUUGACGUUACCCGCAGAAGAAGCACCGGCUAACUCCGUGCCAGCCGCCGCGGUAA